UGAUGCGUUGAAUUUCUAUUUCUUGUGAUGUAUUUGUUUUACGUAAUUCUUGAUUUUCUUCUUCUAGUUCUUUGAUUCGACUUACGAGGAAAGACGGUGUGUUACGAAAUUCAUCUAUCAUGCACCAGGUGGAGCAAUAUCUAUUACGUCUUUCAAACACUGCAGGUGAUACAGAUGCGUACACGUGGUUGCUACGAGAGGAUUUUCUAUUUGCUCAACGAUCGGGGGCUCAGCCAGUGAUUGAUUACAUGAUGAGCAAGACACGAUAUUCACUAUUCUGCUAUCCAUUUUCUGUCAACAUCAUGGGUAUUCGUUAAAUUUCGUGUAUUUUGUAUUACAUUAAUUUUCAUGCUGUUUUGUGUAAUUUUUACUGUUACUGAUGAAUCUGUACUUACGGAAAUUGUUGAUGUAAAUAAAUGGAAUUGUCUUGA